AAAACCCUCAACUCCACCCCUUUUCGGGGGGUGUGUGUGUUGGAUUUGAGCAUGUCCACCAAAAGAGCCACAUUUUUGGUUCAUGGAGGAUGCUUGAAAUUUGAGGUUCGGCCGGCAUAUUGCCUGGGCUACAAGCAUUUCAUACUUAAUCCCGUCAAACGGAUUAUAUCCUUUGCUGCAGCCAACAUAUACAGGGUAACUGUCAGGGUCCGACUGAUGCAGGAAAAGUUGAGAUUCUCGGUCUCUUCUAA
rnacentral:misc_RNA from 1 species